rnacentral:misc_RNA from 1 species
AAGUCGUAACAAGGUAACCGUAGGUGAACCUGCGGUUGGAUCAUUAAAAAGAUCUAGCCCGAUUUUGCACCUGGCCUUGAGCUGGUGGAAUGACAGGCUUUUCUCACGUACGUGAGUCAACAUCAUGUGAACUGUUUUGUCUCUGGCGGUGGGAUGGCUCAAAACCGUCUGUCAGCAUCCGAGGUAAUCUCGGUGUGCCGUGGACAAGCCGCCAACGGUGUAUGCUUCAUACAAACUUUUUGUUUCAUUAAGACUGUCUGACCUACUUUUGUAUCUAAAUAAUACAAAAACAACUUUUGGCAACGGAUCUCUUGGCUCCC